rnacentral:rRNA from 1 species
AGUGGGGAAUAUUGCACAAUGGGGGAAACCCUGAUGCAGCAACGCCGCGUGGAGGAUGAAGGUCUUCGGAUUGUAAACUCCUGUCUUUUGGGACGAAAAAAAUGACGGUACCAAAGGAGGAAGCCACGGCUAACUACGUGCCAGCAGCCGCGGUAAUACGUAGGUGGCAAGCGUUGUCCGGAAUUAUUGGGCGUAAAGGGCGCGUAGGCGGCGUCUUAAGUCAGAUGUGAAAUCCCCGGGCUUAACUCGGGAAUAGCAUCUGAUACUGGGACGCUAGAGUGCAGGAGAGGUAAGUGGAAUUCCUAGUGUAGCGGUGAAAUGCGUAGAUAUUAGGAGGAACACCAGUGGCGAAGGCGACUUACUGGACUGUAACUGACGCUGAGGCGCGAAAGCGUGGGGAGCAAACAGGAUUAGAUACCCUGGUAGUCCACGCUGUAAACGAUGGAUACUAGGUGUGGGAGGUAUCGACCCCUUCCGUGCCGCAGCUAACGCAA